AAUGUGGAUGAUGAAACGGACUCCUUAGGCAAGCGGAGCAGACCGUCUUGGUCGACAUUGUACUGCCUGCCAAUGCUAGGCUCGUCAUAGUUACACUGACACAUU